rnacentral:lncRNA from 1 species
GACCGUUUCCACCCCGGCUCCCUGACUUCGAGCACUGAUGCAGAGACUUUAAUGGACUUGGCAAAACAGGCGGGGCGUGUUCACACCAUAUCACAUAUCCAGGUAAUAAAGUUAGACAUGCCCAUCUGGGAGCCAUACUCCUACUCUACUGGUGAGCAUUUCUAAUGCAAUAAAUGUUCCACAUUGUCAUCUGUAAUUGUGGAUUGGUUUCUUGACUCAUUUUAUACUCUUUUGUUCCAGCAAUAACCAUCCUGACAUCUGCAAAGUGGAGAGUUGGAAAAGCAGAGCUUGAACCCACAAUUAUUCCUAAACAAAAGCUGGUCCCCAGAGAAACUCUGAAAGAUGUCAACAAGAACCAUGUGAGAGACAACAGCCAGAAAAACGUCAGGGUGAUGGAGGGCUGUGAGAACACGACGAGUCAAAAGACCACAGACACCAGUGAGACGAGCCCGAAAAGGAUUUCUGAAGAAGUUGGUGCUAAAGUCACCGAUACACGUUGUUUACAAAAGGGUGACGAGAAGGAAACUCCUACACCAAGUGAAAAAGGAUUGGAGAAGAGAGGAGAGGUGUCUUCAAGAAGUUCAGAAGAGAUGAAGAAAGCAGUUAGUGAGACAUGCCAGGCAAUAAAGAUGAAGAAGAUGGACGAGCCUGCAGCGAGUGAGAUGCCACAAAGCUGCAAGAACACGGACAAAGAGGCUGGAACGCCGAUUGGAAAAGAGAAGAGCAAAAGUGUCAAAGAUGUCCUGAACCAGAAGAGGAUAAUCUCCUGUCCUGUUGAGGAUGUAAAGCAAGAAAUAAGCCAUAAAAUGGAGCCGCUCGCCUCCAGAGAAGACGCAGCUCGUGAAGAAUCCCAAAACCUGCCAAGUAGCGGACAAAAGCAGGGGACCCCGACAGACGAGGGAGAAAGCGGCAAACCAAUUCACGAGACGGAGAAGGGCAAAGGUAUGUAAAUACUAUAUUUUAGUGUUUCUAUGAAAAUACCUCAGUCUGUGGUUGUUACAGCAUCUUCUAAUGUGAACCGCCAACAAGCAGAUCUGUUGUGGCAGUAUCUCAAGAGGAAGACUCGAGAGCCCGUGGUUGGCUUAAGUGCACUUCUUGAAUGCCAAUGUGAUGAGCGUGACCCCGUCUACCUGUGCGAGUGCUGCUCCCUGAAGAUCCCAGAGAAGGACGUCAUCAGCCAUGUUACCGGAGUUGAACACCAGAAGAUAUAUCUGGGGGGGUUAAAGAAACUGCCACCUCUACCACUGAUGCACCAGGAGAAGAUGAUCGGAUAUUUUGCUGCUAUGUUUGAACAAGAAAAUGGAUAUGGAGAAGCUCAGGUUGUUGAUCUGGAUGAUGAAAUGUACAAUAGCCUCUCAAAACAAAGCUUUAAAUCAGCCAUACAGACAGUGAAGGUGCUUCAGGAUCAGCAGGACGGGGGGCCUGGACUCCCUUCAACCUCAGCUCUGUCUGGUGUUCAACCUGUAGACACAUCAGUCGGUCUUCAUGCUCAACCUGAGCUCUGUUCUGUAGAGGACGACUAUGAGGUCAGUCGUUUUGGCACGGAUCAGGUGGUGGAGAUGGAGAUCGAUGAUGAUCAUGAAGAAUCUGAGGCACAGCCACACUCGGAAACUACAGCCGCAUAUGUGAUGACUGAAACCACGUGCAAAACAACCGGAGCCCCCCCUGAAUCAAACGAAGGUGUCAAAAUGACCCAAAUCAAAGUUGAGUCAGCUGACAACACUCACACCUGCCGGACUGUUUCCAGAAGUAGUGAGGUUAAAGCUGAAAUCAUUAUUAACACAAGUGUGGCACCAGUAAAAACCGCCUCCACCUCUCGUGCAGCCAUCUCAAGUACUGUAGCCAAAGUUACAGCGACAACUUCAUGUAAAGCCGCCACAGUCGCUAACAAAGAGUCCACAGUGGUGCGUGAAGCCGCCUGCAGAACUGCACCUGCGUCCAAAACGAAAAACACAUCUAAACCUGAAGCCGCUGCUAAUAUGACUAAAAUGUCAGUUAAAUGGGAUAAAACUGAAGUCUCUGUCACGGUCACGCAGCUGAAGAAUUCAGUGGGGUCAACAGUCGGUGUUGCGCCGAACGUUCAAAAGAGUAAAGCACCUGCAGCUCCCAACCCCAACCCCAACCCGACCACGACCAAGAAUCCGCCCACAGAGCCGUCCCAUAACUUCACAAGUACGAAAAGGCCGAGUGAAAACCCUCCUGCAGUUGCUGUAAAAAGACUGAAAGCAAUUGUGAGACCCAGAGACGUGCGUGUCUCAUCACCCUCCACAACCGAUAGUACAGAGGUUUUGAGACCGCAAGUGACCUUCGCCAGUCCAGCUUCAAGCCCAGCUGACGGGAUGUACGUGCCACAUAACGAAGAACUUUCUCCGGAUAACCAAUCGGAGCAGGAGAACGAACAUGGCCUCCAGACACUAUUGACUAGCAUUCUAGACGCAGGCGUUGCAGUCAAAAUGGGGAAACCACAGAGUUAUGCGAUUCCUCUCGCCACUGGCUCCGAAGGCAGGUUCGCCCAAACCCCUGGUACGUGCAGAGACGCCCCCGAGAAGAGACGACCGCAGGAGGGACGUGAUCCAGAGCUACAGGACAAACAGGACAAAGGCUCUCGGGAAACGGCACCUGUAAAACUCUUCAACCCGGACCCGCUCUCUUCUGAUGCUACAGGGAAUAGAGAACGGCAGAACCAACCCAGAUUCAGCCUGAAACCAGAACGUGUAUCAAGUCACUCACAAGCAGUCGCAAUCAUUUCAAUAGGGGAAAGCAGUCAUUUGUCCAGGUACCUGAGGGUGACGGGACUUGACCGUGAACCAAUCAUAGGUCUGGGCUUUGUGUGGGAGUGUCGAGGGAUGUCUGAGAGCCCAUUCUUCCUGUGUGAGAGCUGCAUGGAGAUGAUUUCCCACAAUGACAUCUGUGAACACAUGAUGAGAUCCGCUCACAAGUUAAAAUACAUCAUGUUGCACCAUGACUUUCUGUUCUUCUGGCGUUUUGAGUUUCUUCUUAAAGAGAUGAAACAGUACAUUGUAGAGGGCAUCGUCGGGAGGCUCUCGAAAUGCGAGCGUCACAACAAGGUGGAUGCGCAGUGUAUACUGCUGAGACCAGGGUUGUUUGAAUAUGUUAGGUCUCUUCCGUUCAGUGAAGCUUUAAAAAUGGUUAAAGACAUCAAGAAAGAACCUAAACUCCCCUGGCCUACCACCUGUACUCCAGAACAACAGGGAGCAGGGAAAAAAAAGGAGAAAUAUAAUUCGGAAAAGACUGUUGGAGAUCUGGAUGGGGUCAAACCAAGAAGAGUCUUGAGUCCUGUAGAUGUGGCCAGUGGGUCCUCAAAUGCUGAUGCUGUUGUCUCUCCAGACUCUAGUGCUGGCACAUGUCUCAGUCCCCAAAAGCAGCCAGAAACCAGACCCCCAGACUCUCAGCAUCAGAGGCCUGUCCCAGAAUUGCAAGUGAAAAAGGAAGAGGUGCACUCAGAAUACCCCUCUUCCUGUAUUUUUGGUCCUACAACCAGUCAAACCCCGUCAGUGUCUCCCAGAGAUGAAUGCUCUCCAACCAAGAAAAGACCAGCUGCUGAAUCUAUUGAAACACAGGUCAGAUCUGGCACAAAUGACCCCCAACUCGAGGAUCAUUUGCCAGCUAUAUACAAACCGACAUACAGUAAGCUGAGGCCUAUCAGUCAGCCCAGCCCCGAAUCAGCCUAUGAGCCUACUUCUGUUGACCCUUCUGCAACCUCCACCCUCCUGUCUCCUGAGGACAAAGACGCAGGACCUGGAUCUGACAUAUCCACUGUUGACAGGAGAAAGCUUGCUUGCUUAAUUGCUCUGGUGAGAAAGAGGAAGUCUGAGUUAAACAUUUACCAUUGCACGUCAGCUCCAGAUAACGGUGACACUGCUACCUCCUGCGCUUACUAUACAUCUAAAAGUGGUGUGGAAAGAACAUGGGAUCCAAAGUCUGUGCAGACUACAUAUAACAUGGUUAAUGUGACACACAAUCCACCCUCCACUAACUCAUUUAAGGAGAUGUUUUCAACCGCAGCCGCUCCUGUGGUCUUGGGCCAUGAGAACCAACUCGUUAGCCCUAACUCAAUCUCUGCUAACUUUGCCAACAAAUCCUCUCUGGAGGGCUCCACUUCAACGAGGGGCAACUUUUGGUUCGGAGCGACUGAAGCCAAAACAGUCGGUUCCAUCUUUCCUUCUGCCAGCACCGGAGACUCCAGCGGCGCACAACACCAGAGAAGUGUCGAAGCUCAGAGCAACUUUGGAAAUGCGAACCAGCCCAGUCCCAUCUUCUGUGCAGUCACCAACGAUAACCCACAGCCACGAGAUAACACACAGACUGACAGCACUGGGGUUCCCAUUAACACCAUCGUAACUGCCAGGCCAAACCAUGCUAACCACCAGUUUGUGGACGGCUAUAAUGUACAGGAACACGCUGAGGGGAACCAGGGAAUUCAGGUCACGCACCCUGCAUUCAUUCACAAUCCUACCGCAGCCAACAUUGAAGUCCUAUUCAAGGCAUCUGCAAACUAGGGUUUUUUUUUACUCUCGCUCCCGAUACGAUGGAUGACUCCAUGAAAACUACCUGCUAAACCAUUUGAAUACCAAGUUAUUUCUGCAGUACACCCAUUAAAUAUGGCUCUGUAUUGGUUUCUAGUGGACAUAAUUUAGUUUAGAUAUGUGGCUAACAUAUCACGUCUUUAUCAGAAAGAUGCCGUCCAGAAUGUUGGGCUCUUCACACGGCUCUAAAUUAAAUUAGUUGUAAAUUGUUCAUUGCCAUCUUAUUUUUUUAAUGCGUUUGUGUGUGUUCAUAUACACAUUCAUUUUUUUUUAUGAAGUUGAGGAUACUGGCUGUACAUUUAAUCAUAUUUGCUUUAUAUAUGAAGGAUAAGUUUGUAAACCUUUUCAAAAAGCAGAUUAAGCUACUGUAGCACUUUUCAGUUUUUAACAUUUCUAAUGUAACAUCUUGAGCGGUCACCUCCUUUUUUUUUUCUUGGUCGUUUUUAUAUAAAUUCAUGUUUUGUUCAUUUUAAUAAAAUUCCCGUAAAAAUGCAGAUCUUCUGUUUGAAUGUUUUGUAUGGUCUUAAUGAUCUGUGGGAACACAGAUUGCAUCUAAUGUCUCACUUGUCUCACCAUGUACAGAGUACCAUGCACACACACCAUCUCUCCCAUUCAAAUUAGACCAGGUCACCAAAGCAUCAGUAGAGGGAAUGGGCAUAAUGAAAACUGUCGAUCCAAAAUCACUUUCCGCAGAAUUAGGUUUAACUUCUGUAUGUCAAAUUUGGAGCCCAAGUCAAUAACCCAUCUAUAGUUACAGAUGCUUCUUCCCAGAUUAAAUACAUGAUGUAGUCUCACAAAUUUGUCAUUUCUUGAACGAACACUUUGAACAGUUUCAAUUUUCUGCAGAAGGACUGUAUUCAUAGGGAGGUGCACGCAUCUCGUCAGGCAUGAGUUAUGAAUAACGGGAGAUGCGCUGAAAAGGAACAGAAUCUUCUCGACAGAGUGCGAAAGGAAAUAGUUUAGGCAGUUGAGUGUGGGUGGAUACCUGCAGCAGGCGCUAACUGUCUUACACACACUUCUGCAGCAGGUUACUCAAAUCUAACACCCAGAAUAUAUACAGAUAUCUCGAAUGAGAGACAUGAC